AUUUAAGUAGUUUAAUAAAAAUAUUAAUUUGUGGGAUUAAAGUUAUAAUUUAAGUAUCUUAAAUA
rnacentral:tRNA from 1 species